rnacentral:tRNA from 1 species
AGAACCGUGCCCGAGCAUUCAGGGACCACUUUGAUAGAGUGAUUUACAGAGGUUAAAAUCCUCUCAGUUCUU